rnacentral:lncRNA from 1 species
CCUCUGCAAGGUUUUCAGUUCAGCUGCAGUGUGCCUCACACCAGAGAACUGCCUAGCGCCCAGUCCAGCCCUCUGCAAGCACGUGGGCUUAGCCCUGAGCGGUGCCGGUGUGAGCAGACACCCGGGCUCCCGAGGGAAGCGCUGGCCACACGCAGGACCUGCUGCAGACAUCAGGCUUGCAACAGCCUGUGGACGCUGCUGCUACUUUCUCGCCUGCAACCUCUGGGGACGAGCAAGGAGCAGGGAGGAGCAGCCAGCGAGCCGCGCAGCCGGGGGAAGGAGCAGACGCCCCGGGAAGCCUGGCGUGCUGUCUGUUACAGAUACAGAAAUCUAGAUGGGAUUUCAAAGAUAAGAGAUGGACAGAGUGUCUUGUCAGGGCUUGAAAAAUACAUUCGUCUGGUGACUAAGUGACAAAUCAACGAGGUUUUCUCAGGUUUUGGAAGUAACAGAGUACUUGGUCACUAAAUCCUCACCUGAAGGACGGUUGUAUGCUUAAACUUGGAAGGCUCUACGUUGGGGUUCUUCAGCUCUCUUAAUUCCCAGGUUUUCUUUCCCAGAAGAAAUGGACCUUGUGUGUGAGAAGCGUCCAAGUCAAUAAUGCGACGACGAUAACAUUGAAAGUCUGCUGGAGAAGAAUCGCUAAUUCUUAUAAGUGGUUUUUGGUUUUUUUUCAUCCCUUAUAAAACAAACCA